CAGUAGCCGCGGUAAUACGAAGGGUGCAAGCGUUACUCGGAAUUACUGGGCGUAAAGCGUGCGUAGGUGGUGGUUUAAGUCCGUUGUGAAAGCCCUGGGCUCAACCUGGGAAUUGCAGUGGAUACUGGGUCACUAGAGUGUGGUAGAGGAUAGUGGAAUUUCCGGCGUAGCAGUGAAAUGCGUAGAGAUCGGAAGGAACAUCUGUGGCGAAGGCGACUAUCUGGGCCAACACUGACACUGAGGCACGAAAGCGUGGGGAGCAAACAGGAUUAGAUACCCGCGUAGUCCCUGUCUCUUAUAU
rnacentral:rRNA from 1 species